GACCGAGUCGACAGCUGCGCCGCAACAGCAGCGCGCCGGGGCCGCUCAGUACUCCCAACACGGCGCCCCACACCCCUGUGCCGCCGCCCUGCAACAUCCCCUUCCCACACGCGGCUCGCGGAAACGUACUUAUUGUGGGGAGUCACGUUUUGCAGCAUCUUGACCGCAAGGAACCGGCGCUGCCCUCAGCCGCGGAAAGUCCGGGUGGCCUCGGUUCCCCUCACCGCCCGGUCCAGCAUAACCCGCUAAGUUGGGGGGAGGCCGUUCCUCUUGGGCCUCCAGGCGACAAACCCCCUGCCUGGCCGGCACGAAAGCAGUCUCUUUGGGGCCUCUCGGAGAGCUCCGGGCAGCUUGGCGCGCUCUGCAGACGGCGGACAGCAAGAAAAUGGCGGCGGCCUCAGCUGAGGCGGGCAACUAAGGAGGGACUGACUCUUCAAAAGACGGUCCCCGAUCUCAGACACCGUCGUCAAUAUAGCCCGCUGUUGGUCUGCAGGGAUUCCCUCUUCUUGUCGGGCCGGGACGAAGGCCAUUUCCAAGCGGAUGGAGGUGGAUUGUAAUGGCGGCCCCGGACGACUCGAAGGCUCUGUAUCGGUAGGCAGAAUCCUCCAGCUCGUUCUAGAGGCUGCUCCACUCCAGCACGAAAUGGCGCCGCCGAGCCCCGCGCCAGCCCUUUAUAUAUAGGCGGGGAGGAGGAGCUUCGCCGCUCAUGCGCGCCACCCUGCUUGAGCUUUUCCCCACCCCCUCCGCGCGCGCGCGCUCGCUCACGCGGGUGAAGAAGCU
rnacentral:lncRNA from 1 species